rnacentral:rRNA from 1 species
UACGAAGGGGGCUAGCGUUACUCGGAAUUACUGGGCGUAAAGGGCGCGUAGGCGGCGCUCCAAGUUAGGCGUGAAAGUCCUGGGCUCAACUGGGGAGCGUCGUGCGAUACGGGCGGACUGGAGGCCAGUAGGGGGAUGCGGAAUUCCGGGUGUAGUGGUGGAAUGCGUAGAGAUCGGGAAGAAUACCUGUGGCGAAGGCGGCCAGCUGGGCCAGAUCCGACACUGAGGCGCGAAAGCGUGGGGAGCAAACAGG